GAGAAAAGGACAUCCACAUAGCUCCUUCUCAGUUGGAUGAUGCCCAGCAAGUUGGCCCUUGCUGCCCACAUCCCAAGAGGUUUACUGCUCCCGUUGGUCAUUUAGGCUUCGCCCAAGCCCCUCAGGUUGUCCCUGCUCCAAGAAAGAAUUCUAGAGCCUCCUGGAGUUGUAGACAGGGAAGGCAGGAGUAUUGCAGAGCUGAAGGUGCUGCAAAGGACUCAGGUAGCAAAGGAUACAUGCCAGCUGGACACACUGGAAUUGGAAUUCACAUCACUGCCUCUGCUGUCUGGUUUUCCUUGACAGUCCUUGAGUACAGCAUCCACAUGUUCUAAUUCUGUAUAAAACUGAGGAGCAAGAUAUCUUUGCUCUAAAGACUUUAAACUCUGUGUGAGUUUUAGCAAUUUAAUAGGCAUCUCAGGU
rnacentral:lncRNA from 1 species